UACAGAGGGUGCUAGCGUUAAUCGGAAUUACUGGGCGUAAAGCGUGCGCAGGCGGUUUUGUAAGUCUGACGUGAAAUGCCCGGGCUCAACCUGGGAAUUGCGUUGGAGACUGCAAGGCUAGAAUCUGGCAGAGGGGGGUAGAAUUCCACGUGUAGCAGUGAAAUGCGUAGAUAUGUGGAGGAACACCGAUGGCGAAGGCAGCCCCCUGGGUCAAGAUUGACGCUCAUGCACGAAAGCGUGGGGAGCAAACAGG
rnacentral:rRNA from 1 species